UGGAACUGGGAAUUAAGAUGAAUAGCUUCUGCCUCUUCGUGAAAACUCUCUCUUCUAUUACCUUGGCUAAGUUCAAGAUUGCUGACUUCUCCAGGACCUGGGAGGCUAAGCGAGCCAUCUGUUGCCUUUUCUUGCAGGAAUCCAUAGCCUUUCAGAUGUGAAAUAUCAAAUUCCUGGUUCCAAUUCAUUAGAGGAAGAGGAGUGCUUGAACAGAGAAGAGUCAUUGGGACCCUGAAGCACAGUGGUGAAGUGUUGGGAUGAUUAGCACUUGAAGGAGAUGGAACCACCAACAGGAUGCUGGAAGAUCAAGAUAUGGCUUAUCAGACUCUCACCGACUGCCCUCACCCAAGAAGGAACAGUCAAUAAUUCAACUCCAACAGUGAGAAGAAUCAUGAAAAUGGCCUUUGAACCAUGAGUUACAAUCAGCUACUGAGAAUUUCAGAAAAGAUCCCAAGUUAAGGGAGGCAAGAAGUCCCUCUUCAAGUUGGAUCAGUUACAUUAAAAUCUGGUUUUUCACUUUGAAAGAAAAGAUGGCCCAUUCCAAUCCCUCUUCUAGUUGUUGAAAGGAGAAAAGAUUCUGGGAAGAAGCCAUGUAUAUCUUCUGUAUUUUCCUUAUUCUCAGCUACUACACUAGAGAUUUCCAGGAAUCUCCUCUUGGAUGAAAUCUAACACUCUUUCUUUUGACUGAACUGAGUUACCUCUCAGUGGGAGAACUCCUUCCCUCCAUAUUGUCUGGUGAAGAAACACAGAGCCCAUAGAAGUUAAACUAUUCAUCCAGUGUUGCACAGAUAAAGAGCCUGACUUUCAAUUCAUCUCUUUUGAUAAUCUGUGGUCAGAGAUGGGCACCCUGCAGUUCUUCUGACUUCUUACCCUGUGCUCUUCACUGGUACAUUGCCUCUUCCUACUGAAUCACAAGUAAAAUUCCAAGUUUCAUCAAUGUUCUUAAUUAAGUCUCAGUCUCUUAAUUCAUGCAUAUAAAAUAAAAUGAAUUGAUUAAAGCAACUCAGUGAAAUAUUUUCAUUCCUAAUGUUCAGGACCUAUCUUGCACAUAAAUAGAUAAGAAAGUCGAGAGCACAAACUAGUUACAAAAGUGCAGGGAGUGGCCAGAAUGGAAAGAACAAAGACUUUGGAAUUAUACUAGAAAAAUGCACCAUAGCUAAUUAUACUUAAAAAGUCCCCUUUCAUACUGUGAACUUGGAAAUUACUCCACCCUAAUUAGACAUACUUGAGAGGAAGA